rnacentral:misc_RNA from 1 species
GAUGAAGAACGUAGCGAAAUGCGAUACUUGGUGUGAAUUGCAGAAUCCCGUGAACCAUCGAGUCUUUGAACGCAAGUUGCGCCCGAAGCCAUCAGGUUGAGGGCACGUCUGCCUGGGCGUCACAUAUCGUUGCCCAAUGCCUAUUGCAGUGCAAUAGGUAUUUCUAGGGCGAAUGAUGGCUUCCCGUGAGCGUUGUUGCCUCGCGGUUGGUUGAAAAUCGAGUCCUUGGUAGGGUGUGCCAUGGUAGAUGGUGGUCGAGUUAGAACGAUACCGAUCAUGUGCAUGCUCCCCAAAAUAUGGCCUCUAUGACCCACACGCGUCUUUUGACGCUCAUGACGAGACCUCAGGUCAGGCGGGGCUACCCGCUGAAUUUAAGCAUAUCAAUAAGCGGAGGA